rnacentral:tRNA from 1 species
AAAAAUGAAGCAAACAUUGCAAUCAGUUUCGACCUGAAAGAAGGAUUUUUACCCAUUUUUA